CUUCUCAGACCGUAAUCUGGCCAGGGAGCGGACUGUUUGAAGGUAGAAGCACUAACACUCUUCCACUUUCCUUUGACUCUGUAUCCCAGAAUGUAUGUGAUAGAUUCUAUUGACUUGUAUUAUACUUUAGCAGGUGACGAUGCAAUACUAGACAGCGUUUUGGAUUACGAGAACGAGAGUGGACUUCUAUCUCAAUCUGAUUAAUACAAUACAAUACAAUACAACAGACAGGCCCGAGACACCUCCGGCUAAAGGUAAGAAGAAGAAGAAAAGAAAAAAAAAAGUAUAAAUUUUAAAUAAAUAAGUAAAAUAAAUCUAAACCCGUCUCUCUCCAUCUUGUAGAGUGCAGACCAGAACCCGCUCACAAGGUGGACAAGGCUACUUGUACCAGCGAAGACGGUGUCUACCCACUACUCGUCAUACCCGACAUGCCAGAAAAGCAAGGCAGACAACCGGCUAACACUAAAGAAGCUGACACUGACGGAGGACCAUCUGGAUCCAAAAUUAGCAUACCAGAAGCACCAGAGAAAGCAGUGACUGACGACUCCAGCCCAAACCCAAACUGAAGCAUUCCAGUAGAAGAAGUGGCAGGAGGAAUACGAGGAGAUCAGCUUCAGGACGUCGGGGUCUAUCGAGAGGGAAGGUUGUGAAAACCUUUUGGAAAAUACUGACUUCUGUUUGUGAAUUGACCUCAGCUUUGACUAAGUAGAGUCGUGUGUGUUGUAAUGAUGAAUGAUCAAGGGGAAAAUUCGGUCUCGCAGUCAGCUCUGCUAUCUUUACAGUCUACGGUUGAAGUAUUAAGAGAUAUCCCUCACCCGCAAACUUUACCUCCACUGGUUGAAAUACAACAACAAUUAGAGAUUUCAAACGAGUCUCAGGCUCACCACGAACCUUCUGAUUUUCAAAAUUUGGAAAGUAUUGAUGUAGCCCUUCAACGUUUAAGAGAAGCUUUGUCCAGUCCUCCACUCCCGGAGCUCUUACCUCCUCCCUCUCAACCCCGCGUCGUUUGUCCGUCUAAUGUACCAUUACCUCGGCCGACCCAGGUUCCCCCUGUUCGUCCAACUGAAGAUUCCGUGCCCGCCCGUCUAACCUUUUACCCAUAAACGAUCCGUUACCCGGUCCGUCCUCGUACUUCCCAACUGCAACAGCAGCCGCUCAAAGGGGUGCGGGUCAAAAUCCUGAAUCCCCCGGGAGGGUCUCCAGAGACAGGUUUAAUAACAUUGAAAUAAGACAGAUGCUAAAUUUCAACUUUCCCAAUCCUGUGAGUAAUUACGCAGAGUUUUAUCUUAAUGUGAUGGAGACUCUCCAAGCAGCGGUUGAACGGGCUGUAUCCUAUGCCAGACAGGUGGAUGUGCUGCAACUAGAAUUAAGGGGGGAAAGAUCAAACAGCACCUCUGUCAUAGUCAGACACAAUGGCAGUCUAUCUCUAAACCAUGUUCAAGAGGCUCUUGACCGCCUUGUGCAAUCAAACAUGGCCAUUAUGCCGGAAGAUGAGAUGGAGUUAACUUGUGCAGGUGGUACGUAGUCCUAGAGGGGGUGUUAAAAGAAAACUGCAAACCAUUUUUGACGAUGAAAUCUGCAGGAAAAAAGCCCAUUGCCUGAACAUUGUCAUCAAUCCUGGCAACCAGCUCUGCUUUGCCAUUAACCUCGCUCAGCUUUUAAACCGUGAAUUAACCACGCGGCAGGCCACUGAGCACGCUAAAGUGCUACAGAAUCAUGCGGGGUUAGCGGACAACACGCCUGUGACUUUUAAUGCUAUUAUCAAUUUUGAACAGGUUUUAGAUUGCAAAAUCGUCGUCUUCUUCAGAGCAGACGGUGAGCGGGCCCUGUCUAAAUUCCAAACAUCUGAAGGAAUGCAUCCUAAAACCCUCUAUCUCUUCCUCCAUCAGAACCAUUACCAUGGUAUCACCAACCUGAAAACAUUUCUAGGUGCACGGUACGUCUACGGUUACUGCCACACAGGUUUUACUAACUUAUGGCAGCAUCAGUGCCCGGGCCGUUGUUCUGUAUGCUUGUCAUCAGACUGCACAAAAACUGAGACUAAACUGAUUAAAUGCCCCGAUUGUAAUAUGACGUGUCGAUCCGACACGUGUUAUUUAAAACAUAAAAUACCUCGUCAUCGCCCCACCUCCGGUACAGCCGCCAGCAACUGCGGUACAAUUAAAAAGUGCAAUACCUGCAAAGUGGUGUAUUACUCGGCCAUCAGCGGCAGCACCCAGCACAAAUGUCGAGCUAAGACAUAUCUGGUCUGUUCCGUAAAGGACCCGGGCGAGGAUCAUCUGUGUUACAUGACUCCUUUGAAGGUUGAGACUGAUUAUUCGAACCACAUAGUGUUUUAUGAUUUUGAAAUAUUUGUAAAUGAAACAGGCAGACACAUCCCAUUUUACAUCAGUACACAGUCUAUGCUUGGAAAGAAGUGGGGUUCCUGGGGCAUUAGUUGCGCAGCUAGCUUCUUUAAACACUUCAGAAAACAGAAAUACAGAGGCUGCAUCUUCAUAGCUCACAACGCUAAGGGUUUCGACAGUUACCUGCUUCUCAAUCAUAUAAUUCAGCAAGGUAUGGCACCCCGUAUAAUCAUGCAGGGCAGCAAGGUGUUGCAGAUGGUGGAUGAGGCGUUCCGUCAAACAUACAUCGACUCGCUUUCCUUCUUAACCAUGCGCCUAGCAGAU